AUCACUUCUCGGCCUUUUGGCUAAGAUCAAGUGUAGUAACAGCAUUUUUUGAAAUAAUGUUGGAAGGAAGAGUCAUUAAAGCCAGGUGAAGUCAACAGGAAUUAAGACAUGACACUGCUACUAUGGUAACUUGGUUCAUUUAAUUUUCUUUGAGCAAUAGCACAGAGAAGGAACAAAUUUUU
rfam:Fukomys damarensis contig133966, whole genome shotgun sequence.